UUCAGACUGAGCGAAGUGAAAACAAAGAGGCAGCACACUGUGCGUCUCUGGUAACCACUAACAGGAAGAAGUGUCCAGACAAAGGACUCCACAGAAUCCAAGCCAAAAAAAGCAGCCAAUCAAGAACACAACAUGCCUCUAUAUGACAUGUCCUCCACACAGAACGAGUGAAUCUUGGCAUAACAAUCUCUCGCAGUGUCAAUCAAUGCUUUCUUUUUCCUCCAUCACAUUUUCAAAACGUGUUGAUCCCCAACAAAGAGCACGACGCCAGCUCCAGCUCCAGCUCCAGCGCAACAGUGUCGCUGUGUUUUGUUUUUUUUCAUGUUUGGUUUUUCUCCGAGCCUGAUGCAGUCUGUGAAUCCAGCACAUCACCAGAACCAUGUUUGCUUCCUUCCUAACAACAUUUCAGAUCUUGUUGUCCUUAGAGGUAAACAUUGCCCUGCUGCUGCUGUACUCACCACCUGGAUCAGAUCUGAGCGAACGCAGGCCUGGUGGAAGACUGCUUGCUGGAGAAAAGAGAUUGUUUUGUUUUUUGGAGUGAAGUUAUGAUUGUCGUCGUCCCAGGCUCUGGUCCAUGGGUGAUGCUGCCAGGUGGGAACUUAUUGUUGUGUCCUUUGGGGUGCUGACGGUUCUCAUUUUUCCCAACACGGGCUUUUGUUGUGUCUUUUGUGUGCGUAAUGGACUGGCCUCGUUACUUUGGUACGGAAACGUCACCACGUGGAGGGAGAUGGACCUGCGGAUUGACAGGCGGGCUGGCCAACGGGUUGGAGUGCUGCCUUCAGGCUCCCGUGGGAAAGAUGGAAACCAGGUUUAGAGUUGAAUUCUUCUUUUGUCUUCAUCAGACACCAGAACAGCGACUCUUCUGAGUUCAAGUUUUAAUCUGCCUGUGAACGCCUCAUCCAAGGUGUCUGCAUGCAAGUGUCAUCAAGUCUGCCUGUGAACGCCACAUCUCAGGUGUCUGCAUGCAAGUGUCAUCAAGGUGAGAAUUACUUAUUGAAGCAACCAAGAGAAUAAUAACACGCGUCAGAAAAGUGCAUCUGUGAAAGUUAUUGUUUCGUUAUUGCUGGAGAGAUUAUUUCCCAUGCGGCGUGAACGCGCCACAAAGGGAAGGAGGGAGCGCGCACACACCCGGAUGUGUAAAUAAAUA